UACGAAGGGUGCAAGCGUUAAUCGGAAUUACUGGGCGUAAAGCGUGCGCAGGCGGUGUAUUAAGUCAGAUGUGAAAGCCCCGGGCUCAACCUGGGAAUUGCGAUGGAGACUGCAAGGCUUGAAUCUGGCAGAGGGGGGUAGAAUUCCACGUGUAGCAGUGAAAUGCGUAGAGAUGUGGAGGAACACCGAUGGCGAAGGCAGCCCCCUGGGUCAAGAUUGACGCUCAUGCACGAAAGCGUGGGGAGCAAACAGG
rnacentral:rRNA from 1 species